UCGGAUGUGGUGCAUGGUGCACAUCAGCUUUUCAUGUUGCUUGCAGCUUCUAACAUGACAUAAGCUGCUGAAGUCCAGGGUUCGACUCCCUGCAUCCGAA